rnacentral:rRNA from 1 species
AGGACGGGUGAGUAAUGCCUAGAGGAAUCUGCCUGGUAGUGGGGGACAACGUUUCGAAUGGGAACGCUAAUACCGUCAUACUGUCCUACGGGAGAAAGCAGGGGACCUUCGGGCCUUGGCGCUAUCAGAUGAGCCUAGGUCGGAUUACUAGUUGGUGAGGUAAUGGCUCACCAAGGCGACGAUCCGUAACUGGUCUGAGAGGAUAAUCAGGUCACACUGGAACUGAGACACGGUCCAGACUCCAUACAGGGAGGCAGCAGUGGGGAAUAUUGGACAAUGGGCGAAAGCCUGAUCCAGCCAUGCCGCGUGUGUGAAGAAGGUCUUCGGAUUGUAAAGCACUUUAAGUUGGGAGGAAGGGCAUGCACCUAAUACGUGUGUGUCUUGACGUUACCGACAGAAUAAGCACCGGCUAACUCUGUGCCAGCAGCCGCGGUAAUACAGAGGGGUGCCAAGGCGGUCAAUCGGAAUUACUGGGCGUAAAGCGCGCGUAGGUGGUUCGUUAAGUUUGAAUGUGAAAUCCCCGGGCUCAAACCUGGGAACUGCAUCCAAAAAUGGCGAGCUAAGUAUG